CCUACGGGUGGCAGCAGUGAGGAAUAUUGGUCAAUGGACGAGAGUCUGAACCAGCCAAGUAGCGUGAAGGAUGACUGCCCUAUGGGUUGUAAACUUCUUUUAUAUGGGGAUAAAACGUUCCACGUGUGGGAUUUUGUAUGUACCAUAUGAAUAAGGAUCGGCUAACUCCGUGCCAGCAGCCGCGGUAAUACGGAGGAUCCGAGCGUUAUCCGGAUUUAUUGGGUUUAAAGGGAGCGUAGGUGGCUUGUUAAGUCAGUUGUGAAAGUUUGCGGCUCAACCGUAAAAUUGCAGUUGAAACUGGCAGUCUUGAGUACAGUAGAGGUGGGCGGAAUUCGUGGUGUAGCGGUGAAAUGCUUAGAUAUCACGAAGAACUCCGAUUGCGAAGGCAGUUCACUGGACUGCAACUGACACUGAGGCUCGAAAGUGUGGGUAUCAAACAGGAUUAGAUACCCCAGUAGUC
rnacentral:rRNA from 1 species